rnacentral:rRNA from 1 species
CCUACGGGAGGCAGCAGUGAGGAAUAUUGGUCAAUGGACGCAAGUCUGAACCAGCCAUGCCGCGUGAAGGAAGACGGCUCUAUGAGUUGUAAACUGCUUUUGUACGAGGGUAAACGCAGAUACGCGUAUCUGUCUGAAAGUAUCGUACGAAUAAGGAUCGGCUAACUCCGUGCCAGUAGCCGCGGUAAUACGGAGGAUUCAAGCGUUAUCCGGAUUUAUUGGGUUUAAAGGGUGCGUAGGCGGUCGGAUAAGUUAGAGGUGAAAUCCCGAGGCUCAACUGCGGAAUUGCCUCUGAUACUGGUCGGCUAGAGAGUAGGUGCGGUAGGCGGAAUGUGUGGUGUAGCGGUGAAAUGCUUAGAGAUCAUACAGAACACCGAUUGCGAAGGCAGCUUACCAGGCUACUACUGACGUUGAGGCACGAAAGCGUGGGGAGCAAACAGGAUUAGAUACCCUUGUAGUC